rnacentral:rRNA from 1 species
UACGUAGGGUGCGAGCGUUAAUCGGAAUUACUGGGCGUAAAGCGUGCGCAGGCGGUGAUGUAAGACCGAUGUGAAAUCCCCGGGCUUAACCUGGGAACUGCAUUGGUGACUGCAUCGCUCGAGUAUGGCAGAGGGGGGUAGAAUUCCACGUGUAGCAGUGAAAUGCGUAGAGAUGUGGAGGAAUACCGAUGGCGAAGGCAGCCCCCUGGGAUAACACUGACGCUCAUGCACGAAAGCGUGGGGAGCAAACAGG